UUUCCGUAGGUGAACCUGCGGAAGGAUCAUUAACGAAUAACUAUGGUUUCUUGGUUGUAGCUGGCUCCUCGGAGCAAUGUUCACGACCGCCAUUUUUAUCUUUCCACCUGUGCACCGACUGUAGGUCUGGAUUACUCUCGCACUCCGGUGCGGAUGCGAGGAUUGCUCUCGGGCUCUCCUCGAAUUUCCAGGCUCUACGUCUUUUUACACACCCCAAACGUAUGAUACAGAAUGUAGUCAAUGGGCUUGAUCGCCUAUAAAACACUAUACAACUUUCAGCAACGGAUCUCUUGGCUCUC
rnacentral:misc_RNA from 1 species